CCAGGGCCAGGGAGUCAGGACUGCCGCCUGGGGCCCAGCAGCGUCUUCCGACCCGAGGAAGAGGCGUCCCCACACUGGUGCCAGCCCUUUGGGAGGCGGGGCCCGGAGCGCCCACGGGCGGGCGGGAGGCCCGAGGUCCACAUCGGGCCGGCACAGAGACUCAGCAUCUUCUCCGACCUAGGGGACCCACUCUGUGCCCGGAUGCUCACCCAAGACAGAGUUACAGAGAGAAGUAGAGACAGAGAGAGAAGAGGUCUUUCAUCCGUUGGCUCACUCCCCAGAUGGCCACAACGACCAGAGCUGCGUGGAUCCGAAGCCAGAAGCCAGGAGUCUCUUCCAGUUCUCCCACUUCCAUCUUCCACAAACUCCCUGAGGUGCCUCCGUAGGCCCUGCUCCGCGGCAGCCAGAAGCGGACACCUGUGCAGUCCUAAGGACUUGGCCCUGCCAGGAUCCAGUUCCAGCUGACUGCUCCAGCUCCACCCUGCCAGGACCAGGGUCUCUGCCCUGGGCACCUGCUCACCCUCCGGGCGGGGCUCCACUCCCAUCCAGUGAAGUCUGUGGCCUGGAAGCUGCUUCUAGAACGGCUACCCAGAGUCCAGGCUGGGCAGGAUGCUGGGGGCCUGGGUUUGCAGAGCCCCCUGCCAGGCCUGGCUCUCCCUGCUGACCAGCUUCUCCCACCAGGCACAGCUCUAGAACGCCUACUGCGCCACGCCAAGCUCAACGUUCAGUGCUUAGCAGCCGGCGUCUCACUUCUUCCUGCAGGCACGCUGGCUGACGAGCAGAGUUACGUUUGUUUUACAGAUGAGGGAGUGAAAGUCCCGGGGGGCCGGUCAGAAUCCGUGCCCACCGCAUCUGUGGAUGUCUGAGUUGGCGCUCACGCCAGACUGAGCAGCACAAGAGUGGGGAGCGUGGCUCCGUGUGCAUCUCUGCCUUCCUCCCGUGCCCGUGCCUGGCUCGAAAAGGAAGGUGGGAACAAAGCUGGAAGAAAUAAACGGAGCUUCGGGUCCCUGGUAGCCAAAGCUGCAGAGUCUUCUCCUGGAGUCCUUGGUGGUCCCCGCUCGCAGCCCCGCUGGUGCGGGAAGUCGCUCAUCCAGCUGACACCUGGCACCUGCCACGCGCCGAGCUUCUGGCUUAGCUCCCUGCAACAGGGGGUGAUUUUGGCAAUUUUGGGCUGACUUGGCGCCCUUGGCCAGGGUCUAGGGACCCAUCAGGAGCAGAGGAGUAGAGGAGGCCAGGCAAGGAGAACACAGGUCUACAAGUGCAUGAUUGCUUUCUUAGGGGAAGGAGCCAUGCGUGGUGUCCCUCAGGGUCUCACAGAGGGCUGGGACUUCCCAAAGGUCAGAUGACCUGGGCCUGGGCAUCGCUUGCCUGGUCUGCCCCCCAACAGGCCUCCCUCCGUGGAAAGGGGCUUCCGGAACCACCCACAGUUUCUUGGGGUGGCAGAAGUGGCCGGGAUGUGAAGGGGGACCCUCUGCCACACCCUGAGCAGGGGGCCGUGGGUGCUCUAGCAAGCCCUGCAUGGCUGGGGAGGGGUGCCAGUGCUAGUGGUCUCAGCCUCGCCCCGUCUGGCCCGCUAAGGGAAA